UACGUAGGGGGCAAGCGUUGUCCGGAAUCAUUGGGCGUAAAGAGCGUGUAGGCGGCCAGAAAAGUCCGCUGUGAAAACUCGAGGCUCAACUUCGAGCUGUCGGUGGAAACUUUCUGGCUAGAGUCCGGAAGAGGAGAAUGGAAUUCCUGGUGUAGCGGUGAAAUGCGCAGAUAUCAGGAAGAACACCCGUGGCGAAGGCGGUUCUCUGGGACGGUACUGACGCUGAGGCGCGAAAGCGUGGGGAGCGAACGGG
rnacentral:rRNA from 1 species